CAGAAGUGUGUGAAGACAUCUUUCUCUGAUAUCACCUCUGCUUCCAACAGAAGAGAUCACCAUGUUCCUUUCUGCUACUCACUCUGUCUGGUAUGGAAGCUCUCGUACUGACCCAGGAAAAGUCCCUCUCUGGGAACCUGGGAGAUCAUUUGAAAAUAUCCUGUGUUGUUAGUGAUAGCUCUCAGACCUGGACAAUUUCAUGGUACCGACAGAAGGCUGGAGGUGGCCCAAGUUUUUUGCUUGCUGACACCACAAGAGCAGCUGGGCUUCCUAACAGGUUCACAUAUUCUGAACCUGGAUCUGGCUAUACUGAGUAUCUACACAUCAAUGAAAUCACGGCUGAGGAUGAGGCAGUGUAUAUCUGUGCUUGUGUUGCCCGUCCUCCAUCACCCCCUUCUCUGGUCCUGAUGGCCCCAGCCCAGGCCCCUCUCUCCGGGGAGAAGACCACCCUAGUGUGCCUGGCGCAGGGCUUCCACCCUGACGGUGCCUCCCUGUCCUGGUCUGAUGACGGUGGCUCUCUGACGGGUGCUGAGAUCCAGAAGGGCGAGUCUCAGCGCCAGGCUGACGGCACGUACACCCUGAGCAGCCUCCUUAGUCUGCCCUCGACACGCUGGAGCUCCGGACAGACCUUCACUUGUCACCUGAGCCACUCAGCACUGACCAACCCACUGAGCAGGAGUGUGAACAACAGGCAAUGUUCAAUGUUCGGUUAGUUUUGCAUUUCCCCCACUAAUGGUUAAGAUUAGGAUUGAGGGAGGGGAAGCUGAUCCUAGAACUGUACCUAAGGGCCCCCCCAGCAGCAGUGUUCACCCAGAUAGAGGGACUGCUAGUGUGCUUCACAUAGUUUAAUAGAUUGGCAACUUGCUUUACAAGUUUUUGAAGUUUAGUUUUUUUCAUGAUGUUUCUUUUUAUGAAUAGGGACGUCUGAU